GGCAAACAUAUGUUGUGGGGUGGGUAUGCAGGAGCUAAGAAAUUAUCUCUUAUUUUUAGCACAAAUCAACUGUUCAAUCAUAAGGUAGAUUGGAUGAGCAUAACAUUGGCAUAUAUAUGUAUUGAAAUUUAUGACAGAUUCCAAAUAGCCUAAUCAAUUGUUUCUUACCAAAUAUUUGCACCACCACCCAUGCCCUCCCUUAGACACACACACGCAUAGGGGAAACAAGGUGGGGGAAGGAGUUGCUACCUUUUAGUGCAUGAAGUUCAAAGCAACAAAUAACUUUCUGUCAACAGCAUGAAUUGCAUUAUAUCAAGUUUAAAAGAGGAAACAAAAAAAUAGAGUGCCUAAUACUCAUUUUAUUUAUGCAACAUUUAUGCAUUAGUUCAUUUCAAACUUCCUCCCGUUCAUCCCACAGCUGCUAGAACCCUAGUCUAUGAAAAUCACUUAAAGCAUAAACAACAUCACCUUGAGGAGCUCUGAUGAAC
rnacentral:misc_RNA from 1 species